rnacentral:rRNA from 1 species
AGCGAACGCUGGCGGCAGGCUUAACACAUGCAAGUCGAGCGGGCCCUUCGGGGUCAGCGGCGGACGGGUGAGUAACGCGUGGGAACGUGCCUUCUGGUUCGGAAUAACUCAGGGAAACUUGAGCUAAUACCGGAUACGCCCUUUUGGGGAAAGGUUUACUGCCGGAAGAUCGGCCCGCGUCUGAUUAGCUAGUUGGUGGGGUAACGGCCUACCAAGGCGACGAUCAGUAGCUGGUCUGAGAGGAUGAUCAGCCACACUGGGACUGAGACACGGCCCAGACUCCUACGGGAGGCAGCAGUGGGGAAUAUUGGACAAUGGGCGCAAGCCUGAUCCAGCCAUGCCGCGUGAGUGAUGAAGGCCUUAGGGUUGUAAAGCUCUUUUAUCCGGGACAAUAAUGACGGUACCGGAGGAAUAAGCCCCGGCUAACUUCGUG